GGGGACAUUAAGCCAUAAUAAUAAUAAUACAAUAUAAGUAGAAGAAAGCACCAGUCAGUUGUGGUUUGCCGGAACCAACGUAUAGGGGUAGGCCUGUAGUAAAAGAGGGCAAAAAGUCGAUUUAUACAAAUAACCUUUAUUACACACAUAUUUACAAAGCUAAAUCUUUAAAUGCUAAUCUUCAUUCCUGUUCUGUAUGUCGUAUAUAUCUGGUAUAUGCUGCUGACUAAUCUCUUAAUUAUAUGAGCAGGUACAUUGUGGCUUGAAGCCACGGUAGCGGCUCCAAUUCUGAAGGAGUGGCCAGAAAAGCAGAGGUGUCAUGACUGAGUCUUAUAAAAGUGUUCUAAUAUAUAAAAUGAAUUUAAUGGGGGUCAAAGGUUUGCCAUGUAACAGAGUAAUGGCGUACUUGGGUUUAACGAUCUAGCGUCGAACAAUAGGAGCCCAGUAAUUUAACUGGACACCAGUGAUUACCGGUGAGGUAGUAGCAUACUUCAGUAGGAGGGCCUGUUUUGGUGUGAUCAAUGGUAAGUGAAUAAUCAGUAAGGCUAGAUAGGCUGUCAUUUUAAUGAUCAGAUUAGUGCUGGUUUCAAACGGAUUGGUGUCUAGAAUGUCGGUAAGUGUGUGAAAUUUAGGCCCAUCAAUAGGUUGUCUAGUAGUGGUAGUGUUUUUGACCAAACGUUGUAUGCCUUUCAGUAUAUUCUUGACAGGAUAGGUAGACAUGAAAGAAUUUGUGCUAGGUUAGGCACUUAAAAUGUGCGGAUGUAUUCCUGUGAGGUAGAGUUUUAUGGUGUAUUGUGAUAAUUUUAGGUUAAGGUGGCAAGUUAAGGUGUUGUGAGCCACGAGGCGAUUUAGUCCAGGAUUAAGUCUUGGUAUGAGGAAGUGCUGACCGGACUGAUGUUGGCUGUAGGGUGUGUUCUGAAGAAAUCCUGCAAAUUAGAACCAGACAAUACAUCAAUAGCUCUGUUAAUCCGGCCAGGCAUGUGUAUUCAUGUAAAAUAAAAUUGUAGUGUAGUCAAUCUUAGUCUCUUAUGAUGUUGAGUGAUGAGAUUCUGCACUUAUGAUGCCACUAGCUGCUUUGUUGUCGGAAAAACAUUCUGCUUUUCUUUACCACAAGUACCCUCAGGCUUUGGAUGCUGCCACAGUAGGGUAGAUUUCAAAUAGAGCUGAUGUAGUGUGGAACAAGGGUAGGCCACGGCAAAGAAUCUCUAAACCAGGAGUCACCAAGAUAGCUGCGAACACUGUAUGGGCUGCAGCAUCGGUCCAUAUGACUGGAAUGUUUAGAGAUGGGGGAAUAACUUUGCCAUACCAUUCCAUCGAGAUAGAAAACUAAGCCAUAUGUGUAGGUCUGCUUUAGCGUGUGUAUCUAGGGGAACUGUACUCUAGUCAGUAUGGCUUGUAACAAGAUUGAGUCUAGAUGAAUUCCUGGGAAAGUAAGGUUAGUCGUAGGGCCAUUUGUUUGUCCUGAGAAGUGUAACACCUAUAGUUGAAAUAGAGCCAUUGUCUUAUAAAUGCUAAUAGGUGUAGACUGAGGCUUUCUAUAGUGAGUAAGUCAUCUAGAUAAUGUAUGACUGAUGGGCAUUUGGAAAUGUUGAACAGUAGCCUACAUAACGUGUCGGCAAACACGUUGAAUAAUUUUGGACUACUCUUAGCACCAAAAGGCAAACAUGUGGCAAAGUAGUAUUUGUACGCCAUGUACGUGACAUAGUGACGGAUGUAUGGAUAAAAGCUUGAAGGCGUUGGAAACAUCAGUUUUCUCUAACCAGGCUCCUACACCUGCCUUCAAUAUAGCAUGAAUGGCAUCCUCUACUGUGGUAUAUUGCAAGGAGAAUUCCUCACAGGGAAUCAAUAAGUUGAUGCUAGGGAUGGACAAUAAAUGUGGAGCCGAUAAUCAUAAUUAAUUUAUUGUUGAACUUCCCUGUGACUAUACCAAUGGGAUUGGUACGCCAGCAGGAAAAAGGUGGUUUAGAGGAAGGGCCUAUAAUAGACCCAUUGUUCAAUCCUGCGUUAGCUACGCUUUAGUGCUAAUGGGGUCAAGUAGGGCAGACUGUAAGUUAGGGUAGUCGUGAAUACCAGUGGAGUGUGAACAAGCUGGAUGAUUACAGAUUCUUAGUAGGGGUGUAUGGAACGGCGAGGGUGAAAGGCCUGGCUGGAAUCUUGGGUAUAGUGAGUACCUUGUCUUUCCCCGGGUCUUUAGAAAUACCAAGAACGUAAACAUGGGUAGAGAUGAGGCCUUUUUUGUUUUUACGAGCGAUUGCCUGUGUCAUCUGGCUCUAGCUAAGCCUGAGGCAAAAAAAUAUUUGGACUACAAGGAAGGACUUGGCCCUGUUAGUGCCAAGAGGAGAGAGAGAGGCUCUAUCUAUGAGGAGGGCCGAGUGGACGGGGGGCCACUGAAUGAUGUGGCGGGAACGCUUACCUCUUGGUGACUUGUAACAAGACAUAAUAUAUGUGGGCGGGACUUGGUGGUGCCCUGACUAGUAACCUGACUUGGUGGUGCCCCCUGGCUAAUGUGAGACUCUAACUAUGCGGUGGGCCGAGAGGCGUAUACCACCAAAGAGGAUGGGUGUAGGUCUCACGGGAUUAGAUUAAUUACAGUAAGCUAGGGACAAAUUAAGUGACUAAAUAGCCAGUUGACUUACCCUAGCCUAUAACGGAAAAGGAGUACGAUGUAAAAUGGAGACGUACCCAGCUUAAGAUAGAGAUAAGAUUCUCUUAUGACAAGGAUGACUACUUGAGAACAUGAAAAAAGGACAUGUGGAAGAUUAGGUCGUAGUUGGGCCUGGUCUGUUUAGUAUUGUAUUUUUGAGUAAAACUCACCUGUCGAAUGAUGAUAGUUAUUUGUAGAAGCGUAGUGGCUGAGGAUAAAAUAAUGGUUAACCUCUAUGAACAUUAGGUACUGACUGGAGGUGACUAUGGAACUGAGUAAUUACAGUAAGCUAGGGAAGUAUACCUGUUAACUUGAGUGGAGCAAGGAAUCAAAUCAAUUCUCCUAAGUACAGGGAAGGGUAGAGUAUGGACAGAAACUUAAGGGAACGAGUGGUGAUUCUUAUACAUGCAUAAAUGUACAUGCAUAGUGGAAAUACGAUAUACUGCAAGGAUUUGCACCUAAGUGUGCUAGAAAAAGGUUAUACCGGGUUUCCGAUUACUUAGGAAUAUCAGUCUGCUAAAUUAUUAUUAAGAUUGUCUAAAAGGACGUUAGCAUUCCUGACCUCUACAUAUGAAAUGCGUACUUUUAUACAAACAUAUUGCAAUAUUAACGCUUAACCUAGGAUGCAUUUCUCAUAAAAUCGACUAAAUUCGUCUAAUUUAAACAAGUGAAUACAUGUGAACGAAACGGUUUGACAUAGAAAUACUCCAACUGUCAUAAUGAAGUGUGGUCCAUAGGGGUCGCAAGUAGACCAACUAGAGCAUUGAGUUCGGUUAAAUUAAAGAAUGGCACUGAACGUGACCAUGAAACAUAGAACAGAACAUAUGGUUGGACUGGCAUGAGCAAGGACACGAAAGGGGUUUUGUUCGCAAGAACGGGAUCCAUGCAGCGGCCAAACAUAGCAUACGUAUGAACCUUUCAGGAAAAAACCCUAGGAGUGUUAGCAGCUGGUGUGAAUAAAAUAGUUAAUGACUCAGACUCGGUUAAUGGCCAUCAAUGUAUUUAAAGGUACAGACCAGGUGGCAAAUGACCCUAGGAGUGUUAGCAGCUGGUGUGAAUAAAAUAGUUAAUGACUCAGACUCAGUUAAUGGCCAUCAAUGUAUUUAAAGUUACAGACCAGGUGGCAAAUGCUGGUCAUGUAGAAGAGCCCAGCAUUUGCCACCUGGUCUGUACCUUUAAAUACAUUGAUGGCCAUUGUCUGAGUCAUUAACAAUUUUAUUCACACCGGCUGCUAACACUCCUAGGGUCAAUUGUAAGUACAGCUUGUAUACAUUGUUUUGAUUAUGUUAAUGUGUAUGUAUGCUAUAUAAGCACUGUUGUUUGUACUGCACUGUAUCCUGACGAAAGUUCCAUUAGAGAACUGAAACGUUGAUCUACUACUGGCAGAUGCCUAAAUAAAAGCUAAGUUUUUUCACAAUAUAUUUCUUUGAAGUCCUUGGAGUGCUAUCAUUAC